ensembl:lncRNA
CACGCUCGGACGACAGCGUCCCUUUGCAACCCGUCACGUGUUCGCUUGCGUGUCUUCCAUUUUCUGGCUUACGUUCCUGCCCAAGUGUAUGCCUGGGAGCACACCCACCAUCGAAACCCUUCAAUAAUAGCAAGCAAGCACAAUGGAAGAGAGUGGGUGGAAAGAGUGGAAUCGUGGGAAAGCGCUGCCUCCGGCUGAGCGAAUUAUCCUACAGGCCGCUGCUUCUUCCUCGUACGUCUGCCAUUCUCUGCAACUCCACCCUGUGUAAUGUGGAGAAGUGGACAAGGGACCAGAAAAAUGAAGGGAACUCUAGGGAACCCACAGGCCUACUUCAUCCGGGGGCAUAUCUCAGAUAUCUUACUCCUCAACCCCUCCGGUAACAUAUCACAUAACCUUGCAUCUGUUUACUUCUCAGAGUG